CUAAGUUUGAUGGCGACCGGCGCACGGGUGAGUAACACGUAUCCAACCUGCCGAUGACUCGGGGAUAGCCUUUCGAAAGAAAGAUUAAUACCCGAUGGCAUAGUUCUUCCGCAUGGUGGAACUAUUAAAGAAUUUCGGUCAUCGAUGGGGAUGCGUUCCAUUAGGUUGUUGGCGGGGUAACGGCCCACCCAGCCUUCGAUGGAUAGGGGUUCUGAGAGGAAGGUCCCCCACAUUGGAACUGAGACACGGUCCAAACUCCUACGGGAGGCAGCAUG
rnacentral:rRNA from 1 species